rnacentral:rRNA from 1 species
GACGAACGCUGGCGGCGUGCUUAACACAUGCAAGUCGAACGGAAAGGCCCUGCUUGCAGGGUACUCGAGUGGCGAACGGGUGAGUAACACGUGGGUGAUCUGCCCUGCACUUCGGGAUAAGCCUGGGAAACUGGGUCUAAUACCGGAUAGGAGCCAUUUUUAGUGUGAUGGUUGGAAAGUUUUUUCGGUGUAGGAUGAGCUCGCGGCCUAUCAGCUUGUUGGUGGGGUAAUGGCCUACCAAGGCGGCGACGGGUAGCCGGCCUGAGAGGGUGGACGGCCACAUUGGGACUGAGAUACGGCCCAGACUCCUACGGGAGGCAGCAGUGGCGAAUAUUGCACAAUGGGCGCAAGCCUGAUGCAGCGACGCCGCGUGGGGGAUGACGGCCUUCGGGUUGUAAACGCCUUUCGCUAGGGACGAAGCUUUUUGUGACGGUACCUAGAUAAGAAGCACCGGCUAACUACGUG